AACUAGAGCUCAUCAGCACUCAACACAGUAACCCAUUGAAGCAAUAAAUCAAAUGAAAUAAACAACCUGUAUUUAAAUUUAUGUCAUGGCAAUGUUUCGAGGAUAUUGCCAUACUUUCGUACACAUCAUUUACAUACAGGGAUAUUCAAAUCAACAUUUAUCCAGAGGAAAAGCGAACCAAAUCAAACACAAAAUCAAAUUCCACGGCGGAUUGUUAGAGUCGCAGAUGAGACGGAAUGAAAUGUGUCAGGACAUCAAUUAAUGAAUUUGCGACAGGGACAGCGACAGGGACGGCGACAGGGACAGCGACAGAGACGGCGACAGAGCCAGCGACCAUAUUGUCAAUCAUAAUUAUUGAUUGUCCAUUACGACUUUAAUUUAUUCAUGCCGGACCGAAAGUGUUCGUGCUGAAAGGCGAUAAAGAAUCGAUUAAAAUGUUUGUUGGGGACAUCCA